CACCUUGCGCCGGGAGGGACCGGGCCCUAUAUGUUUCCCUGCCUGGGGCGCAAGCCCUGGCUAUGGCGAUAAACGUUGUGUGGAAUAAGUGUUGCGGACCCGGGGGCAGUGCCCGGCGUCUCCACCAAAUUCUCCGCAAUCCCUUCGGGGAGCGUGGAGCAUGGGGACGAAACAGGCUCGACGCGCACGGUAAAGACGCAGCUUUUGCCCGGCAUUGUACCACCGUCAUCGGGCUAAAUCACAAGUGCCAACGAUAACUCGCAGGUGCUCGCUGUCGCUGCAUAAGCGAUAAGCGCGGUUCGGGAGGGCACCGGGCAACAGAAGCCCUCCCACU
rnacentral:tmRNA from 1 species